ACCACAACCGCUGGCGGCGUGCUUAAUACAUGCAAGUCGAACGAUGAUGCUCCAGCUUUGUUGGGGUGGAUUAGUGGCGAACGGGUGAGUAACACGUGAGUAACCUGCCCUYUUCUUUGGGAUAACGGUCGGAAACGGCUGCUAAUACUGGAUAUUCACUCAUUGGCGCAUGUUGGUGGGUGGAAAGGUUUUUCUGGUGGGGGAUGGGCUCGCGGCCUAUCAGCUUGUUGGUGGGGUGAUGGCCUACCAAGGCUUUGACGGGUAACCGGCCUGAGAGGGUGACCGGUCACAUUGGGACUGAGAUACGGCCCAGACUCCUACGGGAGGCAGCAGUGGGGAAUUUUGCACAAUGGGCGCAAGCCUGAUGCAGCGACGCCGCGUGAGGGAUGAAGGCCUUCGGGUUGUAAACCUUUUUCGCUCAUGGUCAAGCCGCAGCUUUGGG
rnacentral:rRNA from 1 species